rnacentral:rRNA from 1 species
UACGGAGGAUGCAAGCGUUAUCCGGUAUGAUUGGGCGUAAAGCGUCCGCAGGUGGCUAUGUAAGUCUGCUGUUAAAGAGCAAAGCUUAACUUUGUAAAAGCAGUGGAAACUACAUAGCUAGAGUGCGUUCGGGGCAGAGGGAAUUCCUGGUGUAGCGGUGAAAUGCGUAGAGAUCAGGAAGAACACCGGUGGCGAAGGCGCUCUGCUAGGCCGCAACUGACACUGAGGGACGAAAGCUAGGGGAGCGAAUGGG